GAUGAACGCUGGCGGCGUGCCUAAUACAUGCAAGUCGAGCGAACAGACGAGGAGCUUGCUCCUCUGACGUUAGCGGCGGACGGGUGAGUAACACGUGGAUAACCUACCUAUAAGACUGGGAUAACUUCGGGAAACCGGAGCUAAUACCGGAUAAUAUAUUGAACCGCAUGGUUCAAUAGUGAAAGACGGUUUUGCUGUCACUUAUAGAUGGAUCCGCGCCGCAUUAGCUAGUUGGUAAGGUAACGGCUUACCAAGGCAACGAUGCGUAGCCGACCUGAGAGGGUGAUCGGCCACACUGUAACUGAGCCACGGUCCAGAGUCCUACGGGAGGCAGCAGUAGGGAAUCUUCCGCAAGGGGCGAAAGCCUGACGGAGCACCGCCGCGGGAGUGAUGAAGGUCUUCGGAUCGUAAAACUCUGUUAUUCGGGAAGAACAAAUGUGUAAGUAACUAUGCACGUCUUGACGGUACCUAAUCAGAAAACCACGGCUAACUACGUG
rnacentral:rRNA from 1 species